rnacentral:misc_RNA from 1 species
UCGAGAUGGCGCAGCGGAAG